AUGUGGGAUGGGCCACCUGCCGCAGGUUUACAAAUAUCCAGGUGCAAUGCAGGGCGAGCCUGGUCGCGCAGGGACCAGUGUUCGAGCCCCCAAAGGAGCUGGCAACGCUCACCCUCGGCGGCGCAGCGUUUGUUCCCACUAAUCUCCGUGGGCCCUGAUUCCCGGUCGCCCCCUGACACAGCCAAGUGUCAGUUCGCGAGUGUCCCUUCCGUCACUAGAUGUCACUGUGAGUCAACGGCUAGUGGCGGGGGACCCCGGUGUUUUACGGAUCUUCCAGGGUUUCCAGCAUGGUCAGUCCCCGUACUUGUGCCCUCCCAGACCCGGGAGCGCAGAGCCGGGCGGGGCCUCCGGGAGGCCGGGACGGCUCCGCGACCCAAGCGGAAGGCGCGACGGGCUCGGGCUGCAAGGCUGGCGGCGCGAUGCGGAAGGCGGACCAGCGCCGCGCUCCUCUCCGCCCCCGCGAGCGAGAUGGUCAGGUGCCACGGAGGCGCGGCCCGCUGCGGGCCGGCGGGGGAGGGCAGGGGCUCGGCGCCCGCGGUUCGCCAUCGCCCAGGGCAGGGCUCCAGGCGGGCGCGGGCGCCGCGCGGGGCGGAGCUCAAGCAGCCGCGGGCGGGGCGGGGCGGGGCCGGGCGGGGCGGGGCCUGGGAGCGCGCCGGCCGCCGGAGGGGGCGGGGCGGGGCGGAGCCGCGGCGCGCGCGCCCGCCGGGGGGAGGGGCGGAGCGGGCGCCGAGCGCGCGCAGGCCGGCCGCCGCGAGCGUGGGGCGAGCGUGGACCGCGGCGCGGCGGUGCGACUCCUUCGCCGGCCCUCCUCCCCGCCCCCGGCGAGGGCACCGUGUGCGGCGGCGCCGGGGCCCGCGAGGCCGGAGGAGGCGGCCGCGCCCGGGCAUGGUGGUCUGGGACAGGGCUGAAGAUCCAUCUGCUGAGGAAUUGAGGAAGCUAAUGAUGUUGCAUGGAGGCCAGUAUCAUGUGUAUUAUUCCAGAUCCAAAACAACACACAUCAUUGCCACAAAUCUUCCUAAUGCCAAAAUCAAAGAGUUAAAGGGAGAAAAAGUAAUUCGACCAGAAUGGAUUGUGGAAAGCAUCAAAGCUGGACGACUCCUGUCCUGCAUUCCGUAUCAGCUAUACAGCAAGCAGUCCUCUGUACAGAAAAGUCUCAACUUUAAUCCUGUGUGCAAACCUGAGGAUCCCCUCCCCGGUCCCAGCAGCAUCACCAAGCAGCUCAACGACAGGGUAAAUCACAUAAUUAAGAAAAUUGAGACGGAAAGUGAAGUCAGAGUUAAUGGAGUGAACAACUGGAAUGAAGAAGCUGCAGAUAAUGACUUUGAUUUUGUGGGGCUGGAGCCUGUCUUCCCAGGAAGAAAACAGAACGGAAUUCCGCAUCCCAGAGGUGGCCGUGCCCUUUGUAAUGGGCACGCCCACAGCUCUCACGGUGCCUUAAAAAGCUUGGACUGCCUGGCGCCCCCUGGCAGCGGUGUUGCCAGCAGGCUGUCCCCAGAGCCCGCCCGGGAGGAGGCCGCGGGGGCCUUCAGAGACUGCACCGUGCAGCUGGCCCAGCAGAGCACCUGCGGCGCGGACGCUCUGCGGGAUCCACACAGAACUAAGCCCUUCCCCUCGCCGCCUUUGCACAGUAACCCUCGAGUCAACGGUGCUCACCACUCCACCGUUCAGGGGCCUUCAAGCACAAAGAGCACUUCGUCAGUACCUUCCCCAAGCAGGGCGGGGCCCUCGGGGCCGCCCAGACCCUCGGACUGCAACUUCAUCUCGGACUUCUACUCCCGGUCGAGACUGCACCACAUAUCCACGUGGAAGUGCGAACUGACUGAGUUUGUCAAUGCGCUGCAGAGGCAGAGUAGUGGUAUCUUCCCAGGAAGGGAAAAGUUAAAAAAAAUGAAAGCAGGCAGGUCCGCACUUGUUGUAGCUGACACAGGAAAACCAGUGGCUGUUACAAGUAACAGGGGCACCGGCAGGGCCCCUCUGCGUCCGGGCGCUAACCCUCAGUUGGAGUGGCAGUAUUAUCAGAAUAAGAUCCUGAGAGGCAAAGCAGCAGAAAUACCAGAUCCGUCAACGUGGGAGAGUCAAGAUUCUGCACAGAUAAAUGGAAUUGAUUCUGUUUUGUCAAAGGCUGAAAUCGCAUCUUGUAGUUAUGAAGCCAGACAAGUUGGCAUUAGGAAUGGAAUGUUUUUCGGGCAAGCCAAACAGCUCUGUCCCAGUCUCCAGGCGGUCCCUUACGACUUCCACGCGUAUAAGGAGGUUGCACGGACGAUGUACGAGACGCUGGCCAGCUACACACACAACAUCGAAGCCGUCAGCUGUGAUGAAGCCCUGGUAGACAUCACCGAGAUCCUCGCUGAGACCAGACUCACGCCUGACGAGUUUGCGAACGCUGUCCGCAUGGAAAUUAAGGACCAGACUAAAUGUGCUGCCUCUGUGGGGAUCGGUUCUAAUAUUCUGCUGGCUAGAAUGGCAACUAGAAAAGCAAAGCCGGAUGGCCAGUACCACUUAAAACCAGAAGAGGUAGACGAUUUCAUCAGAGGCCAGCUAGUCACUAACCUACCAGGAGUUGGGCGUUCAAUGGAGUCCAAGCUGAUGUCUCUGGGGAUCAGGACGUGCGGAGACCUGCAGUACCUGACCAUGGCGAAACUCCAGAAGGAAUUUGGCCCCAAGACCGGCCAGAUGCUUUACAGGUUCUGCCGAGGCUUGGACGACAGACCGGUUCGCACUGAGAAGGAAAGAAAGUCUGUUUCAGCUGAGAUCAACUAUGGAAUAAGGUUUUCCCAGCCAAAAGAAGCAGAAGCUUUUCUUCUGAAUCUUUCAGAAGAAAUUCAGCGGCGCCUUGAAGCUGUGGGCAUGAAGGGUAAACGCCUGACUCUCAAAGUCAUGGUGCGGAAGCCGGGGGCCCCUGUAGAAACGGCCAAAUAUGGAGGCCAUGGCAUCUGUGAUAUCACCACCAGGACUGUGACUCUUGACCAGGCAACAGACAGUGCGAAACUCAUUGGCACGGCCACGCUGAACAUGUUUCACGCGAUGAAGCUCAGCAUAGCUGACAUGCGAGGGGUUGGGAUUCAUGUGAAUCAGUUGGUUCCAGCGAAUCCAAACCCGCCUGCGUGCCUCAGCCGCCCAGCAGCCCAGCCCAGCCACGGUGCGGGCGGGGCCCCGUCUGUCCUGGAACUCCUGCAGGCCCAGAGGGCGAGGCAGCCCCCGGAAGAGGAGCCCGCAGGAGUAUUUCUGGCUGCGGUGGAUCUGGAAAUGCCACCUGCCCCUCGAUCUGGCACUGUGCCCUCUCUGUCUCCACACCUGACGCCGGGUGUCGCGCCUGUCACUACCAGCAAAGCCGAGUGUGCCAGCAAGUGGAACGGGCUGCAUUCUCCUGUCAGCUUAAAGCCAAGACUCAACCUGAGCAUAGAGGUCCCAUCACCUUCCCAGCUCGAUCGCUCCGUCCUGGAGGCUCUCCCGCCCGACCUACGGGAGCAGGUGGAGCAGGCAUGUGCUGUGCAGCAGGCGGAGCCACCGGGCGACCGGAGGAGAGAGCCUGUCAACGGCUGCAGCGCAGGGAUCCUGCCCCAACCCGUGGGGACUGUGCUGCUACAAAUACCGGCACCUCAGGACCCUACCAGCGACACGGGCAUUAAUUUAAUAGCUCUUCCGGCGUUUUCCCAGGUGGACCCAGAGGUGUUUGCGGCUCUCCCUGUGGAGCUUCAGAAGGAGCUGAGAGCAGCCUACGAUCAGAGACAGCGUCAGGGAGAACACAGCCCUCCCCAGCAGCCGGCCGGCGCCCCCGUGCCAAAGAACCCGUUACUGCAGCUAAAACCAGCAGCGGUGAAAGACAAGAAACGAAACAAGAAAAAAAGUCCCCUCAGCCCCCAAAGAAAGAGUCAGAGCCCUCUGAAAACCACACUGGUGAACAGCCCGGCAAAGACCCUGCCAGGGGCCUGCACAAGCCCCCAGAAGCUCAUUGAUGGGUUUCUAAAACACGAAGGUCCCACGUCAGAGAAACCUCUGGGAGAACUCUCUGCUUCCACUUCAGGUGUUGCUGGCCUUUGUGGGUUGCAGCCUGACGUGUCCACAAGUGUCAGGCCCCCGGCGCCCAACCUGGCUGGAGCCGUGGAGUUCAGUGACGUGAAGACCCUGCUCAGAGAGUGGAUCACCACCAUCUCAGAUCCGAUGGAGGAAGACAUUCUGCAAGUUGUAAAAUACUGCACUGAUCUAAUAGAGGAGAAGGAUUUGGAAAAAUUGGACCUCGUUAUAAAAUACAUGAAAAGGCUGAUGCAGCAAUCAGUGGAGUCGGUUUGGAAUAUGGCGUUUGACUUCAUUCUCGACAAUGUUCAGGUGGUUUUACAGCAAACGUACGGAAGCACAUUAAAAGUCACGUGAAGGUGAAUCACCAGGGAGCCUGGCGCUCUCCACUAGCUGUGCCAUAAGUGCUUGUGAGGUAUUUGCAAAGUGCAUGAUAGUAAUGCUCUGAGUUUUAUAAUUUUAAAUUUCUUUUUAAGCGAAGUGUUUUGUACAUUUCUUUUCAGUAAGUGCCAAAUUUGUCAGUAUUGCAUGUAAAUAAUUGUGUUCUUUUACUGUAGCAUAGAUUCUAUUUACAAAAUGUUUGUUUAUAAAGUUUUAUGGAUUUUUACAGUGAAGUGUUUACAGUUGUUUAAUAAAGAACUGUAUGUAUAUUUUGU
rnacentral:lncRNA from 1 species